CAGAAGUUUCUGGAAAGGAGAAUGUGUUGAGAACAUCUCGCCACCAUGGCCAUUCUGGAUUCCAUACCUCCUUCACGUCUUCUGGUGUGGACUGUAUGCUGAUGGCAAGCUCUCUUCGGACUGGCCAUAGUUCAAACGCUCGAAUGUAAGUCCCCAGAGGCAUUUACUCCUGUGCCCCCGACAUGGAGAACAGUGCAUGGGACCCAGGAAGUGCUCAGAAAACAUAACUAUGUGUUGAACAGGAACCUGUACCAGAUGUGCCUGUCCCCGACAUUGGACCCUGAGCUCUUUGCGGGAUGGAAACAUACUCUGCUCAUCUCUGUAACCCCAGCUUCUAGCCUCCAGCCUGACACGUGGUCUGUGUGUUGAAAGAAUAGAGGAACCAGAUCCCUCACUCAGAGAGAAACUGGCUUCUGGCUUGCAAGCAGCUUCCUGAAGAGACCCAUGUGGCAAGGAACUGGAGCCCCUUUCCAGCAGGCUCUCUGGUUUCCCUGAAUGGAACCAUGGCUUGCAAGCAACGGCCCACAUCUGACGUGUGGUGAAUUCCUGACGGAGACAGCAGUAGUAACAAGUGCUAAGUCCUUCCACAUUGACUUCUGCAAAGAGCCUCACUAGUCGGGUCUUCUAAGAAAGGGACAAAUCUUGGGCCCAACAAAGAAGAAAUAGAAAGAAGGAAGUCUGUGAUAUUGUGAAGAAUAGGAUGUGGAAAUUUUUCACUGGUGCAGUCCAGCCCAAGGAGCAUUAAGCUGGCUCAUCAUAUCAGGGAUUUUCCUCAAUGACAUAAAAAUUGCAUGAGUGUGCAAAUGAUUGUCUGAAGAUGUUCUUGGCAGUGUUGUUUAUGAUGAGAGAUAAGAAGCAACCUCAAAUGGCUACGAGUGAGAGAUAAAUCUCCCCAUUUAACAAGAGGAGGGAGAGCAUGGUUGCAAGAAAGGGGAGAAGGGAAAGAAAAAGAAGGAUAAAGGAGGAAGAGGAGGAGGAGGAGAAGGAGGAGGAGGGAUCGCCAACACAGCAGCAGAUAAAGAGGCAUCAGAAAAAAUGAAUAAUGGUUUUAUUCCCAGUCUAUAUAGCACCAAACUCACACCCAAGCCCUCCAAUCCAAUGGAAGGUAGCAGAAAUGCAAGAUCAAUUGAAAAGAACAUCAACAAUGAAGACACACAAAUGGCCAACGAGUACAUAAAAAGGUGCCCGACAUCACUCAUCAUCAGGAAAUGUGGUUUUGACAAAUCACCAUGAGUUAUCACCUACACCUGUUAGAAUGGCUGUCAUCAAGAAGACAAGAGAUAGAUACCAGUGAAACUGUAGAGAAAAUGGAACCCUGUGCACUGUUGGUGGGAAUGUGAAUGGGUUCAGCCACUACGAAAAACAAUACGGAGGUUCCUCAGAACAUCCCACUUCUGGGUCUGUGUUUGAAGGAAAUGAAAUAACUACCUCAAAGAGGUAUCUGCACCCCAUGUUCAUCACAGCGUUCUUCACAACAGCCAAGACAGAAGCAGCCUCACUGCUUGCCAACUGAUGAAUGGAUAACGAAAACUUUGUAUAUACACCCAGUGAAAGUUAUUCAGCCACAGAACAGAAGGAAAUCCUGCCAUUUGCAACAGCAUGGAUGGAAUUUGAGGGCAUUGCACUGAGUGAAAUAAGUCAGCGUGAGUGAGACCAAGACUGUAUGAGCUCACUUAUAUGUGGAAUCUAAAAGAAACAAAAACAAAAGCAAAACUGAGGUCACAGAAACAGAGGGUAGAUUAGUGC